GAUGAACGCUGGCGGCGUGCCUAAUACAUGCAAGUCGAGCGAACAGAUGAGGAGCUUGCUCCUCUGACGUUAGCGGCGGACGGGUGAGUAACACGUGGAUAACCUACCUAUAAGACUGGGAUAACUUCGGGAAACCGGAGCUAAUACCGGAUAAUAUAUUGAACCGCAUGGUUCAAUAGUGAAAGACGGUUUUGCUGUCACUUAUAGAUGGAUCCGCGCCGCAUUAGCUAGUUGGUAAGGUAACGGCUUACCAAGGCAACGAUGCGUAGCCGACCUGAGAGGGUGAUCGGCCACACUGGAACUGAGACACGGUCCAGACUCCUACGGGAGGCAGCAGUAGGGAAUCUUCCGCAAUGGGCGAAAGCCUGACGGAGCAACGCCGCGUGAGUGAUGAAGGUCUUCGGAUCGUAAAACUCUGUUAUUAGGGAAGAACAAAUGUGUAAGUAACUAUGCACGUCUGGACGGUACCUAAUCAGAAAGCACGGCUAACUACGUG
rnacentral:rRNA from 1 species